GUCACAUUGUCACGGAUUGGUAGAGCACCCCGACUUGUCGGGGAGGUCCCCGGUUCGAGCCCGGGAGCUGGCUCCA
rnacentral:tRNA from 1 species